GUUUGCACUUGUCGGGGAAGGGUGAGAACCUUCGAUUAAGGUUCGACUCGAGCGAAAGCGAGAGAACUUUGCCAACGGCAACGGCCCGUAGGGUGAGGAGCGAAGCGACGAAUAAUCCUUCCCCCACCACCA
rnacentral:sRNA from 1 species